rnacentral:rRNA from 1 species
AUUGAACGCUGGCGGCAUGCCUUACACAUGCAAGUCGAACGGCAGCAUGGAGAGCUUGCCCUCUGAUGGCGAGUGGCGAACGGGUGAGUAAUGCAUCGGAACGUACCGUGUAAUGGGGGAUAACGUAGCGAAAGUUACGCUAAUACCGCAUACGACCUGAGGGUGAAAGCAGGGGAUCGCAAGACCUUGCGUUAUCCGAGCGGCCGAUGUCAGAUUAGCUAGUUGGUGAGGUAAAGGCUCACCAAGGCGACGAUCUGUAGCGGGUCUGAGAGGAUGAUCCGCCACACUGGGACUGAGACACGGCCCAGACUCCUACGGGAGGCAGCAGUGGGGAAUUUUGGACAAUGGGGGCAACCCUGAUCCAGCCAUGCCGCGUGAGUGAAGAAGGCCUUCGGGUUGUAAAGCUCUUUCGGCCGGGAAGAAAUCGCACAGGCUAAUACUCUGUGUGGAUGACGGUACCGGCAUAAGAAGCACCGGCUAACUACGUGCCAGCAGCCGCAGUAA